AACGAACGCUGGCGGCAGGCCUCAUACACGCAAGUCGAGCGAUUAAAGCCCCUUCGGGGGUGUAUAAAGCGGCGAACGGGUGAGUAACAGGUGGGUAAUCUACCUUUCGGUGGGGGACAACGUCUGGAAACGGCCGCUAAUACCGCAUGUGGUUGGUACGUCACAAGACGAACCAAAGAAAGGCGCGUUUGCGCCGCCGAAAGAUGGGCCCGCCCCCCAUUAGCUUGUUGGUGUGAUAACAGCGCACCAAGGCAACGAUGGGUAGCCGAGCUGAGAGGUUGAUCGGCCACACUGGGACUGAGAUACGGCCCAGACACCUACGGGCGGCAGCAGUAGGGAAUAUUGCGCAAUGGGCGAAAGCCUGACGCAGCCAUGCCGCGUGGAUGAUGAAGGCCUUCGGGUCGUAAAGUCCUUUUCUGAGGGAAGAACAAGCGGGGUAGGAAAUGCCCCCGCCCUGACGGUACCUCAGGAAUAAGCAACGGCAAACUCCGUGCCAGCAGCCGCGGUAAUACGGAGGUUGCAAGCGUUGUUCGGAAUAACUGGGCGUAAAGGGAGCGCAGGCGGUUUGAUCAGUCUGAAGUGGAAGCCCGGGGCUCAACCCCGGAAGGCCUUUGGAUACUGUCAGACUUGAGUUCGUGAGAGGAGAGUGGAAUUCCAGGUGUAGCGGUGAAAUGCGUAGAUAUCUGGAGGAACAUCGAUGGCGAAGGCAACUCUCUGGCACGAUACUGACGCUGAGGCUCGAAAGCGUGGGGAGCGAACAGGAUUAGAUACCCUGGUAGUCCACGCCCUAAACGAUGGAUACUAGGUAUGGGGGGUAUCGACCCCCUCCGUGCCGGAGCUUACGCGUUAAGUAUCCCGCCUGGGGAGUACGGCCGCAAGGCUAAAACUCAAAGGAAUUGACGG
rnacentral:rRNA from 1 species